CCUAUCUCUUUGGGUGAUUAGCCUUUGCUUAUGCAAGAGGAAUCUACAAAGGUAUUAAUUUCAACUCACUUUGUUUUGAGUUGAUUAUUGGUUCACCAAACUACUAGGCUUUGAAUUUCAUGGGUAAUGUUUUGUUUUUGAAUGCAUACAAGCAUGAUUCCGCCUUUAAUUUGUUAAUUGCAUGCUAUAGAUGUUAUUCAAAUGAACAUGUUUUUCAAAAUAAUCCCUUCAAGUGGUAUCAGAGCCUAGGUCUAGUAGUUGGUGAAUCCUUUUGGGUUUUGUAGUUCAUAAGUUUAUGAUUUAAAAGUUGUAAUUGUUACAAGCUUUAUUCUUGCUUCUUUGAAUGUAAAUUUUGUUUGAAAAUUUGCCAUCUCAAAUGUUGUAGAUGUAGUUCAUAUGAGGAUGAAUAUUGGAGCUAAAAUUUGGUGCCAUGAUUUUUGGGAUUUUCGGCCAAAUCCAAAGGGUGAUUUUUUGGGUUCAUGUUUGUCUUGUUAAAAAUGUUUUAAGGUGACUUUUGGAACCCCUAAGUACCCUAGGAUGUUAACACCAUUUUGAAUGGUGAAAAUUUGAGUUUUAUGGCUUGAAAACAUUCAUGGAGCUCUUAUGGGUUUUCAUGGAUGUUCUUCAAUGUUCUUGAUGUUCUUGCCAAGAACAAAAAGGUUUGUGUUUUUGAUUCAAAGUUUUGAAUAUUUCAUAAAGUUUAUGUUAUAUGUUUUUCAAAUGAUUUAUCAUGUAUUUAAAGUGUUAAAUAUUUGAAUAAAUGAUGAUGGAAACAUCAAUCAUCAAAACAUAUAUUAAUUUUAUGAAAGUAUUUAAAGUGUUAAAUAUUUGAAUAAAUGAUGAUGGAAACAUCAAUCAUCAAAACAUAUAUUAAUUUUAUGAAAGUAUUUAAAGUGUUAAAUAUUUGUAUAAAUGAUGAUGGAAACAUCAAUCAUCAAAACAUAUAUUAUUUUUAUGAAAGGUGAAAGCACUACUUGAUUGUUUUUUGACAAAACUAAUAAAUCAAAACACCCAUCACUCAUUUUUAUCCCUAAAAACCGGCCACCCUAAUAAAAUAGGGUAUUUUUGGGGCUUUUAUGCAAUUACAUA
rnacentral:lncRNA from 1 species